AGAGUUUGAUCAUGGCUCAGGAUGAACGCUAGCUACAGGCUUAACACAUGCAAGUCGAGGGGCAGCAUGUUGGUUGCUUGCAACCAAUGAUGGCGACCGGCGCACGGGUGAGUAACGCGUAUCCAACCUACCCUUGUCCAUCGGAUAACCCGUCGAAAGGCGGCCUAACACGAUAUGCGGUUCACAGCAGGCAUCUAAGGUGAACGAAAUGUGAAGGAGAAGGAUGGGGAUGCGUCUGAUUAGCUUGUGGCGGGUAACGCCACAAGGCUACGAUCAGUAGGGUUCUGAGAGGAAGUCCCCANAUUGGAACUGAGACACGGUCCAAACGUCCUACGGGAGCA
rnacentral:rRNA from 1 species